rnacentral:misc_RNA from 1 species
ACAGGGUUUUGUUUUGCUUAUUUAUUUAUGAUUUAUUUUAAAUUUUUUACAAAAUCGAAUCUAAAUCAAGUUCAUAUUUUUUAUUGAAAUUUGAUUUCUAGUAACUGAAACAUAAUGGCUAACAAUUUGACUCUUUGUUAGAGGCUCCUCUGUGAGGUUCUGAGGAUGCACAGUUAAGGACUGAGAAGUGUUUUAUUUCUAACAAACUACUCUUAAACCAGAACAAAACAAAAAGGAUAAGAAUGCCUCAGUACUGAGCAACUAUUUGGUCUCCUUGCAGAUCAUGUCUUGGAAAUAGCACUUAAAUCUGCUUAUUUUCCCACCUUUUACACUCAAUUAUCCUAUGCUAUUCUGGUGUGGGGUCAUGCGCCAAAUGCCACACAUUCAUUUGGAUUACAGAGGAAAGCUGUUCGGGUGGACUACUUUGAGAGAUAAGAGAAUAAGGAAGUUGUAUGCACAUUCUGAGCCUACAUUUGAUCAUCCAUUAAAAAGUAUGCUGGUGGUAGGAAGAAUUCCAAGAAGAGUUCUUGGCUCAGGUCCUAGUACUGGAAGAGCAACACCUGUUUCUACACCAGCAACUAUAUCAGAACCUCUUGCACAAGCUUUAAAAAAAUUGGAUCCUUUAUCACAAAUGGCUAUUCCUGAAGAAAUGGAUCCAUUAUCUAAAAUGGCUGCAGAGAUGGAUACAGUAGACAGUGCCAUAAAAUAUAAAGAACAAAGCACCAAAUCAAACCCAAAAUCAGAAAGGCAAGAUAGCUGGUCACAUAGAAAGGCGGCUAUUUUACAAAAAUACACUACCUCAGAAAAGCUAAGUAUGGUGACUAGUUUUUUGCAAGAAGGCGAAAAAGGUAUAUUUUAUUGCGAAAAUUAUAAUAUUUUACCUAAAUGUAGUUAUUCAAUAGUUGCCGUAAAGGCUCAAAGCACAGCAGUGGAUAAAGUACAACACAGGUUGGAACAGCUUGACAGUUUUGAGGAGGGGCCACAGAGAAAGCUGGAUCUUUCACAGACAGAAUAUAUUUUUAAAAUAGAUCAACUACAUAAAGAACUGAUUCUGGCCUGGAACAUAGAGCAGAGAGUUAAAGCCUUAAAAAUAGCGAUACAAUGUGCCAAAAUGUUAGCUGACACUGACGUUUUACCUUUUUAUCCUAGCAAGUUUGUUUUGAUCACAGACAUUUUAGAUUGUUUUGGAAAAUUGGUGUAUGACAGGUUACAUUCCAAGGCUAUGUAUUAUAAACCUGGUUCUCAAAACCCUAUACCUUUACCAGAAAACUUUACACCCAACAUGGUAUCUGAUCAAGCCAAAGAAACAUGCCUAAAUUGGUUCUUUAAAAUAGCUUCAAUCAGAGAACUUGUGCCUCGUCUUUAUAUUGAAAUGGCUUUGUUGAACUCCUACAGUUUUAUAUCUGCUAAUGAAUGUCCAGAGGCGUUGACAAGACUGACUGAAAUGAUAAAGGGCAUAGGUAAUCCAUUAGUUGCAGUUUAUGCUAGAUGUUAUUUAUGUAGGGUGGGACUAAAAAUAAAUGCUCAUAUGCAAGGAGAUGUGGGGUAUUUUAGAAGAAAUUUUGAAUGUUUUUUGGAAACGUAUCAACAUAUAUUUAGUAGAAGUGUUAAGGGCGACUUACAUGAGCAAAAAAUGUCAAUAUCUUCUUAUAUGACCUUGUACACGCCAGCUCUAGAUUUUAUCAUGGACACUGUUCUUGAAAAUUCACCAGACACUGUUCUAACCGAAUUACUAAGAAAGUGCCAACAAUAUAGCAACAGCUCCCUCAUAUUAAACACUAUAAUGUCAGGCUUCAAACCUACUUUUAUAGCACAACGGACCUUGCAAUUCCUUUAUAUGAUCGCCCAAUGUACUGACGAUGGAAUUCCGUUACAUUCUCUCUUAAGAACUUUGGGACUGUGCAUAUCAAUUUGCUCGCCGCCCGCUGAAGAUAGAAAACAAAUAUUAAAUGGAAUGUGGACAAAUGUGGCUCCAAUGAAAGAUCCUGCGGAAUAUAUCGGCUGUAUUGAGGCAUGGAUUCCUUAUAUUGUUCAACACUUCUCGACCAAAGAACUAAAUACGAUUCUAAGCGACAUUAUUGACCACAUGUCGCCUAAUCGUAUUUCCGAAAAAUAUACGUGUGAACUCAGGAAAAUUGUCCAGAAAAUUAUGCAGUAUUCCACUGAUUUUGAGUCAUUGCUAGCGAUGGAAUCUUUUUUGCCAUUUCUUGACCUAUUCCAUGAGGAGUCAAUAAAAGUAGAAAUCUGCAAACUAGUUUUAACAUCAAAUUUUUUGAUGGAUCAAAAAACAAAUGACCCUGUGAUAAUUAAUGCCCUAAUGUUUCUAGCUGGGGUGCUGCAUGAUUCUGUAAACGCUUUAAGCCCAGAAGAUGAAAUCAGGCAAAUCGGCGAAAUUUUAUGUAACGUCGCAAGAUGCGUGGACUAUGGUAGAAAUUUUGAACAGCAGCUGCAUUUCUAUGUUGACGCGAGAGGUAGUUUUGCUAAUUUAGAUGUUGUAUUAGCACAGUUGGUUCAGUCUGCGAACUUUUUAUCGGCUAAUACAAGGCAAAUAGUUAAGGGUCACCAUACGAAAAGAACGGCCGAUUUCGUGCGGGCAUGUUCGGCCUAUUGUUUUAUCACAAUACCGUCAAUAGAAUCUCCAAAAGUUAGGUUGAAACUUUACUUGCUUUCUGGACAGGUAGCGUUGUAUAACCACUGCCUUGGCCAAGCUGACGCAUGCUUUAAAGCCGUCCUCUCCGUCAUUCCAGAGCUGCCUUUAAAUAACGAAAACGAGUCUUUUUUACACUUAUUUAUUCAACAAUUUUUGUCAAUAUUAUUGGUAGUACCAGACAAUCCGGAGAGAGGCAUUUUAUCCCUGGUUCGAUCCUUGGUUAACGUUUUACGAAGCUUAGCAUGGAAUCAACAGAACUGCAUUUUAGGUUAUUUAUAUGUAAAUAUUGUAGACUUAUUGGCUAGUAUGACUCAGGAUGUGUUUCCCUAUCAUGUUGAUGGAGUAGAGUCAAACGACAGUCUAUGGGGCGCAGAUUCAAGAUUCAUUAAAGAAUUGGACAGUAUGAUUUCAGUUAUUAUAGGGGAACUUCUUGGCCUAUUAAAAGAGCUAGGGGCGUGUAGAAAACAGUCCCAAAUCGCUAUCGAGUUGUUUAUUAGAAUUUGUAUUAGAGCAGAUUUGAGUGCUCCCCAGACCUUUUCUUUGGCGCUGAAUCUAUGGAAUUUGGCGCUUAAAAAUGUAUAUGCUGAGACCAAAUACAUUAUAAGAGUGAAGAUUAAUAAAAGGAGUUAUACGACUUCUGUAUGAGAUUCCAUAAGAAAACCUCAUACAGGCAUUUUGCAGUUUUUGGAUAGACUUAGAAAUUGCACUAUGUAGGACACGAGAAUAUCUUAAAAAUCGAAGCCUGGAGUUAGAAAACAUACACUUACAGCAGUUGGUUGAGAAACUAAGCAUUCCAUCUAGAUAGGGAUUCAUUUACUAUUUAUAGUCUUUUUUUUACACGUUUUAUAUUAUGUAUUUAUAUUCAUUAACAUUCACUGUUAAUAUAUAGUCAAAAUUAUAAAUGAGGUGUUCUUAGACUAAAAGUAGAGAGUAAAAUAGUAUAUUAUUUUUAUUAUUAUUAUUAUUAUUAUUGAUAUACUUUAUAUAUACUUUUAUUUAUUUCACAUAUUAUAUGUUAAAAAGUAUCUGAAUAAAGUGACCAAUUUAUUGCGGCAUUUA